AAGGGCGACAGCGUUCACCAACUUUGUUGUUGUGAAUGCACAACAUGUAUAAUAAAAGUUUCGAGCACUUUCUGAGCUUAUGAGUUACGUAUAAAUAUGAACCCAUUUCCAAAGUUAUUAGAAGGCAGUCUCAUCGACACAAAACAUGUAGAGUCCGCAGCGAUAUUUGUGGCGAGAACUGGCGACGUAAGGGCAGCGUCCAACAUUACAUUCGGUCCAGAACAAACUCAGACGUUUCUAGACGCAUUCAAGCAGGUGAAUGUAACGAGGCAGAGAGGACUCGACUUCAGGAGCAAACACUACACCUGUGUGCGUGCCGACAAACACUCCAUAUACACUAAAUGUGAAGGACAUGGUCUGAUAUUGGUGAGAACUGCACUGUAUGUGAUUGUUGCCACAUAUUCACAGAACAUGUAUCCAAGUAUCUGUGUCGAAGCAGUUGAGAAACUAGCCGAGUAUCUGCGUGAAAAGGGAAACUGAAGCUCGUCGUAUAAGACCAGAAGAGGUGAAGAAUCUAUUCAGUGGGAUUUUUAACACUAUUGAUGAGAAACUAUGGACUGACUAUACUCAAUCUGUUUAGUAACAGUAACACCGAGGAUGUGUGACAUACUUAGUGCCAAUCUUUACGACCAGGUUGGGAUCAUCAAUGAUAGAUGGAUUAUCUGCAAACUCCUGAUAAGUCCUCCACAAAGAGAGAUGGCAAUAUGAGGCAAGUCUCCUAACUGGUCAGAAAAGCUGUCCACUCCACUGUCCAUCCCACUGCUGCCUACUGAUUGAGG